GAUGAACGCUGGCGGCGUGCCUAAUACAUGCAAGUCGAGCGAACGGACGAGAAGCUUGCUUCUUUGAUGUUAGCGGCGGACGGGUGAGUAACACGUGGAUAACCUACCUAUAUUACUGGGAUAACUUCGGGAAACCGGAGCUAAUACCGGAGGAUAUUUUGAACCGCAUGGUUCAAAAGUGAAAGACGGUCUUGCUGUCUCUUAUAGAUGGUUCCGCGCUGCAUUAGCUAGUUGGUAAGGUAACGGCUUACCAAGGCAACGAUGCAUAGCCGAAGUGAGAGGGUGGUCGGCCACAUUGGAACUGAGACACGGUCCAGACUCCUACGGGAGGCAGCAGUAGGGAAUGUUCGGCAAUGGGCGAAAGCCUGACGGAGCAACGCCGCGUGAGUGAUGAAGGUCUUCGGAUCGUAAAACUCUGUUAUUGGGGAAGAACAGCUGUGGAAGUAGACGUGGCCAUAUUGACGGUACCUAAUAAGAAAGCAACGGCUAACUACGUG
rnacentral:rRNA from 1 species